rnacentral:rRNA from 1 species
UACGUAGGGUGCGAGCGUUGUCCGGAAUUAUUGGGCGUAAAGAGCUCGUAGGCGGUUUGUUGCGUCGGCCGUGAAAACUCAGGGCUUAACUCUGAGCCUGCGGUCGAUACGGGCAGACUUGAGUUCGGUAGGGGAGACUGGAAUUCCUGGUGUAGCGGUGAAAUGCGCAGAUAUCAGGAGGAACACCGGUGGCGAAGGCGGUGAUCUGGGCCGGUACUGACGCUGAGGAGCGAAAGCGUGGGGAGCGAACAGG